rnacentral:rRNA from 1 species
AUUGAACGCUGGCGGCAGGCCUAACACAUGCAAGUCGAGCGGAUGAAGGGAGCUUGCUCCUGGAUUCAGCGGCGGACGGGUGAGUAAUGCCUAGGAAUCUGCCUGGUAGUGGGGGAUAACGUCCGGAAACGGGCGCUAAUACCGCAUACGUCCUGCUGGAGCAAGUGGGGGAUCUUCGGACCUCACGCUAUCAGAUGAGCCUAGGUCGGAUUAGCUAGUUGGUGGGGUAAAGGCCUACCAAGCCGACGAUCCGUAACUGGUCUGAGAGGAUGAUCAGUCACACUGGAACUGAGACACGGUCCAGACUCCUACGGGAGGCAGCAGUGGGGAAUAUUGGACAGUGGGCGAAAGUCUGAUACAGCCAUGCCGCGUGUGUGAAGAAGGUCUUCGGAUUGUAAAGCACUUUAAGGUGGGAGGAAGGGCAGUAAGUUAAUACCUUGCUGUUUUGACGUUACCAACAGAAUAAGCACCGGCUAACUUCGUG